UAUGUGAUCGUCUCUCGCAUAUCAAUAAGCGGAGGAAAAGAAACUAACAAGGAUUCCCCUAGUAACGGCGAGUGAAGCGGGAAGAGCUCAAAUUUGAAAUCUUAAAGGGUUUCCCUUUACGAAUUGUAGUUUAAAGAAGUGUUUUCUGUUGAGGUUUUGGUAAAAGUUCUUUGGAAUAGGACAUCAUAGAGGGUGAGAAUCCCGUAUUUGACCUUUACUUUCAACUUUGUGAUACACUUUCAAAGAGUCGGAUUGUUUGGGAAUGCAGUCCAAAAUGGGUGGUAAAUUUCAUCUAAAGCUAAAUAUUGGCGAGAGACCGAUAGCGAACAAGUACCGUGAGGGAAAGAUGAAAAGAACUUUGAAAAGAGAGUUAAACAGUACGUGAAAUUGUCAAAAGGGAAGCGUUUGACACCAGUGUUGUUUUUCUGAAAAUCAAUUAAAGAACUGUUUAUGCUAAGUUGUUUAGACUUUAUCAGCUAACUGUUUAGUUUUGAGCUUUUCUUUAAUGCACUUUUCAGUUAACAAGUCAACAUCAAUUUCUUUUGCUGUAAAAAAGCUUAAGGAAGGUGGCUUGAGAUUCGUCUUAAGUGUUUAUAGCCUCUUGCCUAUGCAGUCGGAGAGAUUGAGGUCUGCAGCGUAGAUCCUUCGGGGCUAAAUGCAUUUGUGCUAAGUUAUAGCAUUUUAUAGACAACUUGUUGACUAUGAUUUGUCUUGUAGCUUACUCGCUUAUGUUAUUUUACCUACGCUUAGGAUGUUGAUCUACAGAGCGAGAGU
rnacentral:rRNA from 1 species